AACGUAGGAGACGAGCGUUAUCCGGAAUUACUGGGCGUAAAGAGCGUGUAGGAGGCAGCUCAAGUUGGAUGUAAAAUCUCCCGGCUUAACUGGGAGGCGUCGUUCAAAACUGAGAAGCUAGAGUGAGGGAGAGGUAAUCGGAACUCCGGGAGUAGCGGUGAAAUGCGUAGAUAUCCGGAAGAACACCAGAGGCGAAAGCGGAUUACUGGCCCUAAACUGACACUGAGACGCGAAAGCCAGGGUAGCAAAC
rnacentral:rRNA from 1 species